UGACCUCAAAUCAGGUAGGAUUACCCGCUGA
rnacentral:rRNA from 2 species